UUUAAAAAAAAAAAAAGCGAACCCAGAACAAAGACAGGACAUUGACAAGAGCUAUACUGGGAUCCCAAGCAGUUCCAAGAAUAACUUGCCCUUUCUGUACCUUCCCUUCAAGUUCCAGAAAGCUCUCAAGGUUGUUUGUUUGCCAGAAGGAUGUGCAUGUUCGUGUUUAGUUUUUCAAGUGAUAAAACGGGAAGGGGGGGGGGUUCCAAAGAAGGGCUAGCACUGGACCUUGCAAACAUUAAUAAAUAUUUGUCUAACUGAAUUGAAAUGCUUGUCUAGCCCACCCUCUGGGAGAAGCGCGGCGCCAAUGCGUGAUGUGAAUUUUGAAGCCAAGUUGACUCUGGUAUUAGAUAAACUUUCUGAUCCCAGUUCCUCCUCCCUGUGGCUUUCCACUUCGGCAAGGAAGGGACGAGUGGGGACUGUGAGGAGGGGAAGGGGGGCGGAGAAGGAGAUGGGGGUGUGUGUGUGUGGGGGGGAGUCCUAGCGCCGCGCAGGCGCUUUCCCCACCACCUCUUACCAUCACCCCCCCGCUCCCAAUCCCCUGUCGGGGCUCGGAGCCUCAGCUCCUGUGGGACGCCAAUGCACUUGUAAAGGGAGGGCUGGAGGCAGACACAAAGCCUGGGCCCUCCCCCUCCGUGUCCUCCUCCUCCUCUCUGCUCGGAAGUCCUGCCCUGGUGCUGCGCUGGUGCCAGUCCAGGGCCGAGGCUCUCCUUCUGUCCCACACACCCCCAGCCCAGACCUCUCGACCUGCAGCGAGGGCAGUGCAAGAUUGGAAAGACCAAAAUAAAGUGUGAACUGUACAUAAAGAAGAAUCCAUAUCUACCAAGCCCUCACUGAAGAAGAUAGAGUGGAGUAACUGGUCACAGCUCUGAGGCUAUCCAGGAGUGUGAGUGACACAGGCAAGGAAGAGAGAUGCAGGAAUGAGCAGGUAUGUAAGGAACAGAUUAUGAAACCAAAUUAACUUUGGCCCCAGACCUGGUUUUUGUUGUGAUUGUUAUUUACUUGUUUGUUUGAACUAUUUCUAAAGUGAUAGGGACUGUUAAGUGGUAUGAGUCUUUUGUGGUAGUAUGUCAUUUGCCAGGAUUUAUUUUGGGUUCCCAGAAGUUAAUUAUUAGCAUGAGCCAUUUUUCUCAGUCUGCCCAGAGACCUUGUUAAUUUUGACAUUUCCAGACAUAAUGGUUUUGCGGCUCGCUUGUUGGUGAGGUAGUGAGAUAAAGAGACAAUUCAUAAGUCUCAGAAACAUGAAAAAAUUUAGGUAGUAAGUUUUUUUCUGAGAGAAG
rnacentral:lncRNA from 1 species